rnacentral:tRNA from 1 species
GCUAUAGUUCAGUUGGUAGAGCGCCAGAUUGUGGAUCUGGUUGUCGUGGGUUCGAGUCCCUCUAGC